CAUGAUGAUGAUGAUGAUGAUGAUGGUGGUGAUGAUGAUGAUGAUGAUGAUGAUGAUGCUGAUGGUGAUGAUGAUGAUGAUGAUGAUGGUGCUGAUGGUGAUGAUGGUGAUGGUGAUGGUGAUGAUGGUGAUGAUGAUGAUGAUGACCAUGAUGAUGAUGAUGGUGAUGGUGAUAAUCAUUAUGAUGAUGAUGAUGAUGAUGAUGAUGAUGAUGAUAAUGAGGUGUCCGCACAGGUGGCCGAACACGUACAGGUGGUCAUACAGGUGUUUAUGCAGGUGUCCGCACAGCUGUCUGUACAGGUGGCCGAACAGAUACAUGUGUUCGUAUGGAUGGCCGAACAGAUGUCUGUACAGGUGUCCGCACAGGUGGCCGAACACGUACAGGUGGUCAUACAGGUUGCUGAACAGGUGCGGGUACAGGUGUCUGUACAGGUGGCCUUACAGGUGGCUGAACAGGUACAGGUGGUCAUACAGGUGGUUGAACAGGUGUGGGUACAGGUGUCCGUACAGGUGUCCGCACAGGUGGCCGAACAGGUACAGGUACAGGUGUUUGUACAAGUGUCCGAAGAAGUACCUGUGUUCGUACGGAUGGCCAAACAGAUGUCUGUACAGGUGGCCAAAUAGGUACAGGUGCAGGUGUUUAUACAGGUGUCCGAACAGAUGUCUGUACAGAUGGCCAAACAGGUACAGAUGCAGGUGUUUAUACAGGUAUCCGAACAGAUGUCUGUACAGGUGGCCGAACAGGUAUACGUGUUCGUACGGAUGGCUGAACAGAUGUCUUUACAGGUGGCUGUACAGGUACAGGUGUCCAUACAGGUGGCCGAACAGGUGUCUGUGCAGGUGGCCGAACAGAUACAGGUGUCUGCACAGGUGGCCGAACAGGUACAAGUGUCCAUACAGGUGUCUGUACAGGUACAGGUGUCCAUACAGGUACAGGUGUCCAUACAGGUGUCUGUUCAGGUGGCUGAACAGGUACAGGUGUUCGUACAGGUGUCCGUACAAGUACAAGUGUCCAUACAGGUGGCCAAACAGGUACAAGUGUCCAUACAGGUGUCCAUACAGGUACAGUUGUCCAUACAGGUGUCUGUACAGGUGUCUGUUCAGGUGGCCGAACAGGUACAGGUGUUCGUACAGGUGUCCGUACAGGUGUCUGUGCAGGUGGCCGAACAGAUACAGGUGUCUGUGCAGGUGGCCGAACAGAUACAGGUGUCUGCACAGGUGGCCAAACAGGUACAAGUGUCCAUACAGGUGUCCGUACAGGUACAGGUGUCCAUGCAGUGUCCGUACAGGUGUCUGUACAGGUGUCUGUUCAGGUGGCAGAACAGGUACAGGUGUUCGCACAGGUGUCUGUACAGGUGUCUGUGCAGGUGGCCGUACAGGUUGCCGUACAUGUACAGGUUUCCAUACAGGUGACCGAACAGGUACAGGCACCUGGUCGUACAGGUGGUCAUCAGGUGCCUGUACAGGUGGUCGUCAGGUGGCUGUACAAGUCCGUACAGGUGGUUGUCAGAUGGCCAUACAGGUGGUUGCAGGUGGCCGUACAGGUGAUCAUCAGGUGGCUGUACAGGUGAUCAUCAAGUGGCCGCACAGGUGGUCAUCAGGUGGCCAUACAGGUGGUCGUCAGGUGGUCGUUGUGUGGCCUUACAGGUGGUUGUCAGGUGGCUGUACAAGUCCGUACAAAUGGUUGUCAGGUGGCCAUACAGGUGGUCUUCAGGUGGUUGUCAGGUGGUCGUCAGGUGGUGGUCAGGUGUCCAUACAGGUGACCGAACAGGUACAGGCACCUGGUCGUACAGGUGGUCGUCAGGUGGUCGUCAGGUGGCCGUACAGGUGGUCGUCAGGUGGCUGUACAAGUCCGUACAGGUGGUUGUCAGAUGGCCAUACAGGUGGGUGCAGGUGGCCGUACAGGUGAUCAUCAGGUGGCCAUACAGGUGGUCGUCAAGUGGCCGUACAGGUGGUUGUCAGGUGGCCUUACAGGUGGUCGUCAGCUGGUCAUCAUGUGGCCUUACAGGUGGGGGUCAGGUGGUGGUCAGGUGGCCGUACAGGUGGUUGUCAGGUGGCCGUACAGGUGGUCUUCAGGUGGUCGUCAGGUGGUCUUCAGGGGGCCGUACAGGUGGUCUUCAGGUGGUCGUACAGGUGGUCUUCAGGUGGUCGUCAGGUGGUCUUCAGGUGGUCGUCAGGUGACCGUACAGGUGGUUGUCAGGUGGUCUUCAGGUGGUCAUACAGGUGGUUGUCAGGUGAUUGUACCACCUGAUGACCACCUGUACACAGGUGGUCGUCAGGUGGCCAUACAGGUGGUCGUCAGGUGGCCGUACAGGUGGCCACACAGGUGGUCAUCAGGUGGUCUUCAAGUGGUUGUCAGGUGGUCAUCAGGUGGCCGUACAGGUGUAGCAGAGCUUUUUUUUUCUUUGUGUUUUUACUGGUUAUUUUUGUACCUGACCGCUGUAAAAGAUUCAGAUGUUUUUUUAAAGUCUGACAGUCGUGUAGCAGAGCACUGUAAAAAGAGAAAAAUGUUUAUAAACUGUUCUUGAUGUGAAAAAAAAGACCAAAAUCUGUCGAUCAAAUGUUUUUAUAUUUACAAAAAAAAAGAAUCUGUAAUGCUCAUCUGUGUGGAAGAAAAACAGGAAGUGAUGUUUUUAUUUUUUAAAGAAAAAAAAACUAUUUUAAAACAAAAAUAUUUUGGCACGUUGGUGGUGAUUGGAUGGUUUCAGCCAUCGUUCCAUAACACUGACUGGACUCUAAUUUAACUACAGUUUAACUUCAGUUAAACUCUAGUUGUUUGAUUUCUAAACAGAACAGAAACAGCCAGUGAGGGACAGGAUUGGUUUUCAAUCCAACUUUAGAUAAUCAGCUCACUGAUCAAUAAUCAGCUGUGUGAUCAAUAAUCAGCUGUGUGAUCCAUUACCUGCCUUAAUGUGUGAGGGUCACCUGGAGGUAGAGUGUUUUGGGCACGGUGGCUGACAGGUGUCUGCAGACAGAGAUGAUGUGAUGAAUGCACUGAAUUGAUUAUAGAUGGAUGAUGAGCUGAUUGAUUAGCAUGA